rnacentral:lncRNA from 1 species
GCUUCGGGAUCGGUAGUAGGCCGUGUUCAAAUGGCUCCCUGCGUGGGUGAAUGUAUAUUGGGGCGGUGGAUGGUGUCGUCGCCGGUGACGGUGUUUCAUCGGAUUCCGCCAUUAGUGUUAUUAGUGGAGAUGAAAAAGGUGAGAAAAAGCUGUGGAAGAGUGGAAAUGGCAGUGAUCAGUGCCAAUUUAUUUUAUUCAAUCAAUCUCUUACUAGAAAAAACAAAAGGAAGAAAAUGGCAGUGAUCAAAAUCUCAGUGAGAAAAGCAAGGCUGAAAGCCCACAUAGUGUUGAUUUUGUAAAAACUUAAAUCAUUAGCAAAACAAAAAUGCAUAUUUUUAGAAGAUGAAAAUGCAAAAUAUAUUUAUUUUUGUUAUAAAUAGAAUCAUAUUUAAGGUGAAUGUCUAAGAUGAAAAAGGUGAGAAAAAGCACUGGAAGAGUGGAAAUGGCAGUGAUCAGUGCCAAUUUAUUUUAUUCAAUCAAUCUCUUACUAGAAAAAACAAAAAAGAAAAAAAUGGCAGUGAUUAAUAUCUCAGCGAGAGAAAAGCAAGGCUGAAAGCCCACAUAGUGUUGAUUUGUAAAAACUUACCUGCACUGGUCAAAAUAAUUAAUCACUAGCAAAACAAAAAUGCAUAUUGUUAGAAGAUGUAAAUGCAAAAUAUAUAUUUUAUAUUUAUUAACUUGGUAUAGACCCUCGAAUAAGUUUUUGGGGAUACGGAUAUUCAAAAAGGU